rnacentral:rRNA from 1 species
CCUACGGGUGGCUGCAGUGGGGAAUAUUGCACAAUGGGCGCAAGCCUGAUGCAGCCAUGCCGCGUGUGUGAAGAAGGCCUUCGGGUUGUAAAGCACUUUCAGCGGGGAGGAAGGCGGUGAGGUUAAUAACCUCAUCGAUUGACGUUACCCGCAGAAGAAGCACCGGCUAACUGCGUGCCAGCAGCCGCGGUAAUACGGAGGGUGCAAGCGUUAAUCGGAAUUACUGGGCGUAAAGCGCACGCAGGCGGUCUGUCAAGUCGGAUGUGAAAUCCCCGGGCUCAACCUGGGAACUGCAUUCGAAACUGGCAGGCUAGAGUCUUGUAGAGGGGGGUAGAAUUCCAGGUGUAGCGGUGAAAUGCGUAGAGAUCUGGAGGAAUACCGGUGGCGAAGGCGGCCCCCUGGACAAAGACUGACGCUCAGGUGCGAGAGCGUGGGGAGCAAACAGGAUUAGAUACCCGAGUAGUC